AGUGAACGCUGGCGGUAGGCCUAACACAUGCAAGUCGAACGGCAGCACAGUAAGAGCUUGCUCUUACGGGUGGCGAGUGGCGGACGGGUGGGGAAUACAUCGGAAUCUACUUUUUCGUGGGGGAUAACGUAGGGAAACUUACGCUAAUACCGCAUACGACCUACGGGUGAAAGCAGGGGAUCUUCGGACCUUGCGCGAUUGAAUGAGCCGAUGUCGGAUUAGCUAGUUGGCGGGGUAAAGGCCCACCAAGGCGACGAUCCGUAGCUGGUCUGAGAGGAUGAACAGCCACACUGGAACUGAGACACGGUCCAGACUCCUACGGGAGGCAGCAGUUGGGAAUAUUGGACAAUAGGCGCAAGCCUGAUCCAGCCAUACCGCGUGGGUGAAGAAGGCCUUCGGGUUUUAAAACCCUUUUGUUGGGAAAGAAAAGCAGCAGGUUAAUACCCCGCUGUUCUGACGGUACCCAAAGAAUAAGCACCGGCUAACUUCGUG
rnacentral:rRNA from 1 species